rnacentral:rRNA from 1 species
AAGUGAUAAUUGGGAAUCCGAUGACCUGAUAUCUGAAUUGAGAAAUUCAAUACUAUUUUAGUUGCUUAUCUAAACAAUAAGUAAACGAUGGUAUGCACUUUUCUCAUAGUAGGACAUUGCGAUCCAUUAGCGUUGUUUAUCAAACGGCCCGUUAGUCAGUUUAUUCUAUCUGUAAUAACUUGUUAUUAUAUGAAUAAUGCUUGAUGGUGACCCGGUAAACGGUUGAUGGAGCUUAACAAUCAUGCCACCAUGCAAAUGUAUCACGGUUUCUUUAAAUUAUUUAUUGAGAUGCAGUGAUCGCAUGUAUUUGAUUAGCAAUGCGAUAGAUUUGGGAUACCUUCGGGACCCGUCUUGAAACACGGACCAAGAAGUCUAACAUGUGUGUAAGUCAUUGGGUAUUUUGUUGAAACCUAAAGGCGAAAUUAAAAUAACUAUUUUAUGGGAUUACAAGUGAUUUUAUAUAAUUGCUUCUCCAUCCCGGGGCGUUCUAUAUGAACAUGGUUUAAGCAAUUAGACCCUCUGUUCGAGAGCGUACCUUGAACAUACAUGCUGU